AUGCCAUGGUGUAGACAUUCCCUCUACAUAUCUUUAUAUCUCUCUCAUGCGUCAUAGAGUGAUUCACCUUCCUUCUGUCUGAAGGUGUUGAGUUCAACCCUCAAUUU